AUGAUUAAUAACCUUGUGAUUGAAGUGCUUUUGGAAAACCUUCGUACGGCAAAUUCUUCUAGGGUGAAGGAAAUUUGUCUUGGAAUUAUGGGAAACUUAGUCUGUCAUGAAUCUCUAGUUGCUGCAAUCUCUUUGAAAAAUGGUUUAAUUGCAACUGUCGUGGAGCAAUUGUUUCUAAAUCAUGUCAAAUGCCUUUCUGAAACAUUCAGGUUGUUGGCUGCCAUUCUUCAGUCCAGUGCAUCUGUUUCUUGGGCUCAAGCUCUUUUACCUGAUGAGAUUCUUUCACGUAUUCUACUGAUAGUUGGGAAGACAGAUAGUACUACAUUAAUUGAAAAGAUCAUUGACUUCCUAACAACUGUCAUUGAUAAUCGAGAUGUGAUUGCUAUGCUUAUCCAGCCCUUGCUUAAACUGGGUUUAGUUGACCGUGUUAUUGGGUUACUAACAAAUGAGAUUGAAAGACCACCGGAUGAGAAGCUAGACAGAAAGGGUUCUCUUGAUUUGAUCCUUCACUUCAUGGUAGAAUCAUCAGCCAUACACUGUGUUUCAAAGGCAAUGACAUCGAAUGACCGGCUGAUUAAAGUGCUAGUUAACAUGAUCAAGUCGCCUGAUAAACAAGUUGCAAGCUAUUGCGCUUCGGUGGUGAUUGUAAUAUCAAAUAUUUUGAAAGAUGGAAAGCAUUUGGUGCCUAAGAUAUCCCAUGAUUUACCGUUCCUGGAGGGCCUACUUGAAGUUCUUCCAGCGGUCCCUGAUGAUGACCAAGCUCGAUAUGCACUUUGGAGUAUCUUAUCGUGUAUUCUGGCACAAGUGCAAGGAACUGAGUUGAACUCCUUGUCCCUCGACCAGUUUGUGUCUCUUGUCUUAGGCAAGUUCGGCCUCAUCAAAGCUGACCUCGAGAGUCAGCUGGUUGAUGAAGAGAAGUUAACACCUGAGGAUGCUCUCCUGAAGGGAUGGAUAUCGACAUGUCUCAUGGCAAUCUCCUUCUUCAUGGUGAGAUGGAUCGAGGAGAAGUCCUCCCCGGGCAACGAAGACGCCAUCGACAAUGCUUGGGAGGUGCUGAGCUACUGCCAGAACGCGCUCUGCUAA
rnacentral:rRNA from 1 species